AUUGAACGCUGGCGGCAUGCUUUACACAUGCAAGUCGAACGGUAACAGGUUAAGCUGACGAGUGGCGAACGGGUGAGUAAUGCAUCGGAACGUGCCCGGUCGUGGGGGAUAACGCAGCGAAAGCUGCGCUAAUACCGCAUACGAUCUGAGGAUGAAAGCGGGGGACCGUAAGGCCUCGCGCGAUCGGAGCGGCCGAUGUCAGAUUAGGUAGUUGGUGGGGUAAAGGCUCACCAAGCCGACGAUCUGUAGCUGGUCUGAGAGGACGACCAGCCACACUGGGACUGGGACACGGCCCAAACUCCUACGGGAGGCAGCAGUGGGGAAUUUUGGACAAUGGGCGCAAGCCUGAUCCAGCAAUGCCGCGUGCAGGAAGAAGGCCUUCGGGUUGUAAACUGCUUUUGUACGGAGCGAAAAGGCUCUCUCUAAUACAGGGGGCUCAUGACGGUACCGUAAGAAUAAGCACCGGCUAACUACGUGCCAGCAGCCGCCGUAA
rnacentral:rRNA from 1 species